rnacentral:rRNA from 1 species
UACGAAGGGGGCUAGCGUUGCUCGGAAUUACUGGGCGUAAAGGGCGCGUAGGCGGCACUGUUAGUCAGGCGUGAAAGUCCUGGGCUCAACCUGGGAACUGCGCUUGAUACGGCAGAGCUAGAGGAUGGAAGAGGCUCGCGGAAUUCCCAGUGUAGAGGUGAAAUUCGUAGAUAUUCGGAAGAACACCAGUGGCGAAGGCGGCUCACUGGCCCGGUACUGACGCUGAGGUGCGAAAGCGUGGGGAGCAAACAGG